rnacentral:lncRNA from 1 species
UAUCACGUACGGUUGAUGGGCAGCAUACAAGGUAGAAAAGGAUGACAUGCCGGAUUACAUUGCACGUGCUGAGGUCAUGAUGACAAUAUACAAGAUCUGAAAAAGAUCCUUCACGUUUUUCUCUUUCAUCUGGGGAAAAAUAAUAGAGAAGCAGUGUACAUAGAGGUUCCAACUGGAAUCCAUCAAAAACAGAAACGGGCACGAGGUGGAGUAGCUAUCUUUUCAUCAAUCGGCCAGGGACAACCACAUAUACGAGCCCAACAUGCUACGAUUAAACUUACAGUAUCCAUCCCCUAAAAGAACUGGGCUGACAAUUCCAAACAAGGACGGGAUACGUGCAAAUAAGAGAAGCAUAUGAUCAGACUUCCACAUGGUUUCGGCCACGUCCAAACAGCCAGCGCAACCUACAUAAAGAGGUCCAACCUGCCGCAUAAGCACACAGAAAAGAAAUAGAAGUCAGCCAAACCAUGACUUGAAGACCCCACAAGAAAAUCGAAGUCCCAUGACCUAAUGCAUGACUCAGGACGUGCCAUGGAGAUUAAAGUUGAUUGCUUCACUCAACGUAUGGCGAAGUCAUGCCCAAGCACGCUCGACGCUUCACGAAUCAUGAAGCGAUGCCCAAUUGCUUCGUUCGACAUCCGAUGAAAUCACGCGUAAGCACUUCUGACCUGAAUCAUCAAGUUUGGUAAUUGUUAUUUACAAAUCUUCAUAGGUACUCUAUCAAUUGAUACUACGACGUACAAUAAGUUCAACACCAUAAUGAUAAGAUACGAAACUGGAACAUUCUACUAAAAGUAACGAGAUGUGGGAUUUAGUCAAUCCUACAACAGAUGAGCUAAUUAGUCUAAGCUUAUUAGUCCUGAUAUUAUAUUGAUGGAUGAGCAUGUCUGUUCUUUAUAUUAUUAAUUUCAAAUUGGUCAAACAAUUUAAACAAUGGUUACUAAGUAUAUCUGAAAAAAAAUUACAAUUUACGCAUUCGACAACUUUAAGGUCACGGAAUCCACAAAGUAUCGACCAGUGAGCGGUGAAAUUCAAAUAUUUUUUGAAUAUAUACAAAGGUAAAGGAGAAAAAAGAUCUCCAGAAGUUUUUUUCAGAUUAUUAUUUCGAGUUUGCUACCAAGGGCACACUACAAGAAUGGGAAGAAAAAAAUAUACAAUGCUCAGGUAUGUUUAUAGUUGUAAUUACGACUUUGAAAUAAACAGUCGUUCUAAUUUAUAUAUUACUAAUCUACAAGUUUGCAUGUGUCAUUGUUUUACUAACACAAACGAAGACUGUGGAAACAAGAAUAACAAAAAAGACCCACAUCCUUCAUAUAUCCGCAAGAUUGAAAUUCUACUACCAGAGUCUGUGUAUAUGCAUAUGCAUGUCUCAAAUUGAACUAAACCUCCUUUGGCAACCAAACUGUCCUUAUUGUGACCUCAAGAAUGGCGCGUAAAUUCAAUGAUAAGUCAAUAAUCUUACAUAGAGGGAUACAUUCUUGAUUAAAUAGGUUUGCGGCUAAAGUCCAAUAAUGCCACAAGAAUAUAUGCAGAUCUGGAUAUACCUGAAACAGAUGAAGUAUGAAACACUACCAUCUAAUAUUUUUGACUCAUGAAUAGUGAUUCACGUUUAAUUCAGUAUUGCAUAACAAUUUUUCUCACCUUUGGCACGCAAAACUAUGCAAUAAAAAGAACAUUUGUGCCUAAUGUUGGGAUUGAGAUGCUCUACUUGAAUGACAAAGUAGAGGAGGUAAAGGCGCAUUUAAUUCUUUUCCUAAACUAAUACACCUUACAUAUAUUGCACAUGAAUUGAUGGAUGAUGAAGUAGACACCGUGUUAACGAAGAAGCAAAACAUGGCCAAUAAAAAGGUGAUUGAUUUUUUCCCCAUGCAUAUUUACAGAUUCUAGAAAUGUGUCAAAUUUUUUUAAAAAAAUAUUUCUUUUGUGGUCACAAAAUAAUAGUCUCACCUUGCAAAUUGCCAUGCAAAUCAGUCCCUAUGAAAGAGGAACAACAUGACAGUAAUGGGACUACAAUAAACAAAGAUGAGCAUCAAGACAAAAUAUAAUCAUCAUCACGUGAGCUCCACAAUGACAAAAUGAGACUGGGAUCUGUUGUAAUAUCAGAUGACUCAUAGGAUGAAUGCACUUAGACGAGUUUGGCAGAGCGAAAAGAAAAGGGUGUCUGCUGAAACAAGAAUUUUUUUAAAAGUAAAAGCCAAAAAUACAAGUCUUGAAGAUGAAGCUGAAGUACAGGAAGUGCCUUUGGGGAACAAGGAAGGUUUCUUGAAAAUUUACCUUGCUGAAUAGCAGAACCAUAUAUAAGCAAAUCAACGGCCUCUCUGGUGUUCCACACAUACCACUAGCUUUGGUAGUGCCCCAUUCUGACCAAAAAUAGUGUUACCACUUUUAGACUUACGGAAAAAAUAAAUCCACUAAGUAAUCGCAUUAAGAUUAUUUCACGACUACUUGAUCAGGUGGCUAGAAGUUAUUUGAGAAAACUCAACAUGCAAAAUCCUGCUCAACAACCCUAUUUGCGAAUUGAUAAAAUACCAUCCAAGUUGACAUAUUAUCUGACAAGGUAAUCUGAUUACCAAACUAAUGCAGAAUAAUCCAUCAAAUUAAUUUUGCCAUAAGGUUACUUAAAAAAAUUGAGAAUGUUACAAGCCUAUCCAUAGCAGUCUGUAUUGUAUAAAUUAGAAAAAUAUAGUCAUACAUGCACUUCUGUCAGUUUAUUGUUCUUGGUAAUAAAAAACAUCAAUCUCAUAAGGCCUUUUCAUUAAAAAAAAUCAUGAAGCCUUAUUUUUAAAGAAAAGGCAUCAUGAAUAAAAUAUUUCUUGCUAACAGCAAAUGCAAAAUACUACGGAGUGCAACACUGCUAUGGAUAAACUAGAAGAGAUAUUUUUUGCUAGAAAGGAUGCAUAUCUUCAAUCGGCACUUACAUUUGGUAGAAAUCUGACAGCACCAACAAUAAGAGGCCACGAUCUCAUGGUCGUCCGCAGAAGCCGCUCACACCUUGCUGCUAUUUAUCAAUCCCACGAUCUACUUACACUCAUCUGCCUUCAGUGCCCCCAUACGAACAGCAACAAGCCCAAACUCUGUCCCGCACCUCACAUCCAACAGUCCACCAUCAGCCCGUGACUCCAUCAGUUCACUCACAGCCUCCUCCAUGGGGUGGUCGAGGAUUCACACCACAGAGGACGCGACGAGCGUGUCUACGCACUCCAUGCGCACGGCCAACUGAGCCAAUAGAUCGACGAAGUGAAAUCAGAAGAAAUGAAUCUACGAGUACGACCGGGAUAGCUUGGGAAUUAGUCUGAUGAUGGCGAGCGGCGACAUCUUCAUCCGCUGGCCGCUAAUCGAAAGAUGUGGCGCAUGCGGAUGGAUAAGGAUCCUGGCAGUGGUGGGGAUCGACUGAGAUGAGAGGAGUGCUUUUUUUCUUAUACGUAGAUGUCUAGAUUUUUUUUUGAGGGGAACGUAGAUUUUCUUUUGAGGGGAACGUAGAUGUCUAGAUGAAGGCCUGUACGGUUGUUC